rnacentral:pre_miRNA from 1 species
ACUUGUUUUGCUGGUUGUCAUCUAACCAUCGUUCAGUCUGCCGUCUGUAAGCUUGGUGCAUGGAUGGGUGCCUGAGUGGGUGCAUGGCGAUUACGCCGACAGACAGACGGUGGUGAUGGUUAGAUGACCAUCAGCAAACAUGUU